UCAAACUUGAAGAUCUUCCUGUCUCAGUCUCCAGAGUUGCUGGAAUUACAGUUCCAAAUAUUCAAUGACCUCCCCGAAGCCUGAAUCCAUGUGGAAGUCUCACAGGCACCUUGAAGCAAUAUGUCCAGAAAAGAACUGAUUAUCUCCCCACCACCUGCUCCUUCUGUUGUGCUCCCUGUCUCAAAAAAUGGCACCUCUCAUUCAUCCUGUUUCCUGAGACAGAUACCUAGAAGUUAUCUUUGACACAUCCCUUUGACAUCAUCCAUGACAUAUCUAAUCAAUCACCAAGUCUCACUGAUUUUAUCUUCUUAGUGUCUCUGGAAUCCAUCUACUUCAUUCUAUUCUCACCACCUCCCUCAUUUAGGCUGCCAUCAUCUCUCCCAGGAAGAUUUCAGCAACCUCAUAAUCCUUUUUUUCCAGCCUCCAGCUGUGCUCCAUUCUAAUCUAUUCUCCACCCUGGGCUCUGAGUGAUUUUCUAAAAAUACAAAUCUGACCAUG